CCCAGGCACACCUAGAGACAGACAGCUCUAGAGACACAGGAUUCCCAUUUGAGAACACAUGUAAGUGAAUCAUUGCUAUUUAUUAUUCACGUGCAUCUGUGUACCCUCGGGGUACAGCCCAUGUUUAGCCUUUAUAAGACCACAGGGCGCCCCACCUAGCACCUUAAUUCUAUCUCCAAAUUCUUAUAUAGGUAUAGUCACAUCUCAAGUGGGGAGAGAAUGUCUGUCCAUCCUGCCAGAGCAUUGUCUAUCCUGUCACAGACUAAACCCCUAAUCUAGUGAGGCUUUACUCUUCAGACCCCACUGACUGCAAAAAAACUAUAAAAAAAGUUCAUGACCUAUCAAUUAACAUUCUAAACAAAGUGUCAUUUACAGUAAUUCAUACACAUCAUUCUAUCCUGUAAUGAUGAAUAGGGCAAUUAGAUUGUGAUUAUUUCGGCAAUAUCCAUGGCUGCAAUUACUCCGUGGAUUUACUCCCUAACCUAAUUGGACAGGAAAUUAAAUUACAUUAUAAAUUGCACCCUCCCCCCAAGACAAGUAAGUGUGCAUUUGUUCAAAAUUUACUUUUUUGGUUUGUCUGUUGCGUUUGUUCUCAUUGUUCCCAUUUGUGUUGCUUAGCCUGCCCAGAGUGGAUUUUUUUUUAGUUUCAAGAAUAAAUAGUUAUGGUUUUACUAACAAAAGUGGCUCCAGAUCCUUUUGGGUUGUGUGACAUCCAAAUGAGAAGCAUACUUUCUGCAAAGCUUGCAAUAAAUGGGCAUUGCAAGGCAGGAAACAAUGUAUACCCUGUAUUAAAGCUGCUUGUUCCCAUUAGCCUUUUCCAAAUUCCCUGGAUUACAUUCAACAGUCUGCUGCUAUGUGGAUUAUACAUGACACUCAUAUAUGGCAAAAACUGGCUAACAGCACUGAAUGAACCUAGAAAAAUACCAGACCAGUGUGUUCAACUGAUUAUACUAUAGAGGAGAAGGCUUUUCUCCAGCCUCACUGAGAUUUUGAACAUCGUUGGACUCAAGGUAUGAAAGUAAUUUAAACAUGACUUUUUUCUGCUUUAGGAUGACUGUUCUCAUUUUUGUUUUUCUUGGGCUCAAUAUUCCAGGUCUGAAGAGGACAACGAUUUCUUCAAGGAUCAGAAGUUUGGUUUGUCCUGAGAGAAUGAAGUGUCAAUCUCCGAGAGAACCCAUGGGAUCUAUUAAAAUGGAUCAUUUGAUAACAGCAGCAAAGGGAUCCUUCAGCUUGAAGCACUGUACAGCCGAAGAACCGUAAUCUAGCAGACAUAGUAGAUGUUUCUGACUGCUAAAGGAAAAUAAUUUCUUUCCGCCUUCAUGAUAUUAUUAAACUCCAAGAGGGAAAAAAAUUUAAACCUGGUGUCAAUUACAGUAAAAAUUUCAGAUACAUCCAUUUGAUCUUAUUGCCCAGGAAAGGAGUAUUCACCAAUGCAGUCCUGUGUAGGAGACUCAUUUUCCACAGCUAGCCAUUCCAAAAGAGGCAUAUCCAUCAGAUUGGAGAAGGCCUUAAGAUCGUCAGCAUCAGUGGUGCCGCCUGACAGCUGACUGAAUGUCACGGUAAAGAACACCAAAACGUGCAGUGUCUAACCCCAUACCUAAAAGAGGACGUAUUGGGGGCGUGGCUAACGGCCGAGCUGAAUAGCCGCUUGCUGAAACAGCUCCGGGCAAUACAGGCAAAAAAAUCUAAAUUAUUGGAGGUAAAUCGCUAACAUGGGGAACCCCAAAACAUCCCAAAGUUCCCACACAGGCUCAGAGAAGACCCCGGCAAAGAAAACAAGCUCUCUCACUAAACCUUUCACUAAACUCUUCAAAGAGUAUGAGGACCACAUGCUUCACUGAUUGCAACAUGGCGCCGGCGGAAACACACGCUGGUUUCAAACCGCCUAUCCCAGCCAUAUCGGACGGCUCUAUGGGCUCAACUGACCUGGACAUAAAAUAUACUCUCAGGAACCUAGCAUCGAGAUCCGAUUUAGCCAUAAUGCUGGGGAAACUGGAGACCUCCUUCCAACACAACUGGACAGCCUCGGUUCCGACAUACGCCAGGUAGGCCACCGUGUCCAGGAUUUGGAAGAUGAAAGGGGGACCACACAGGCGGAAAUGUACUUACUUACCACCAAAGUAGAGUCCCACGCAAUGUACCUGUCCCAACUCCAACGAUCCCUAGAUGAUGUUGACAAUCGGGGAUGCAGAAACAACAUUAGAAUAAGGGGAAUAACUGAAGAAGCAAAUGAAGACCUACCAAACACCCUUAAGGAACUAUGCAACCUCAUACUAGGUCGCUCCUCGGAUGCUCCCUUACUGUUUGACAGGGCACACUGCUCACUAAGGCUUAAGAAUGCAGCGGGAGAAGUUCCCCAAGACAUACUAUGACGCCUCCACUACUUCUCGGCUAAGGAAAAGGUGCUGAGAGCACUAUGGGACACAGACUCCCCACUACUGUUCCACGGGCACAAAAUUCAAGUCUACCCAUGGCUGACUUUGCAAGCCAGAAGGGCCCUCACGCCCAUAACGGAUCAACUAAGGGCACGAAAUAUCAAGUAUCGCUGGGGUUUCCCUUUCGCCCUAACUGUCUUAGCUUUGGAACUAAGUAUUAGACACAUGGACUGGUACCCUCCAAACCCGUCACAACUAAACAACUAUCAGCCAAAAACACAAAAAUGGCGCACUCCCAUGAAGAAAAGAAGAACAGACCCCAUGGAUGCCCCAGGUCGUGACAAAAGACGACCACCAAGCAUGAACAUGGAGUGAGUCGGCAGCACAUUUGCGCACUGGAUCCCUAGAUGGAUUACUCUUGUUUUCCUUCCACUCCUCUCGGAACUGAAACCCACACUGCACACACGCAUUCAAGGACGCAUACUAUGCUUAAUUAAUGGCACAUAAAACCAUUGCAAAUGGACCUUCCAAAAGGGAGAGACUGACUGGCAAUCCACAUCUAAAGGACUGCUUAUCACCUAAGGGCCAACGCAGCGUGUACCACCCUGGCGUACAAAGACACAUGACUAGGACUCUAUAUUCACGGACUGCAGAAGGCCUAUUCUGGUAACGACGGUGCACUGAUAUCAGCCAGGUUGCAUGUCUCUGAAACUGUUACUCGUAAACUAGUUACACAUGUAUGAAUGCAUCUCCUCUCACAUCCUACCCUUCUCUAAAUAUUUCACGACAACCAGAACACACAAAUAAACACUCACACCAUUAGGCCUGUCUCCCACCCAUCAUCUGAAGCUCAGCUGAGAGAAAUACCAGACAGGAAAAACAUUCAAACAAUAUGUACCUUAGCAAUGAACAUGAGGGGAAACACACAAAAAACAACAAUAAACACAUCAUCUAGGAUCUCAGGGCGGAUGGUCUGAGCUAAUACUCACCGGCAACACCUACAUACUUCCAAUAUGUUUUCAUCACAUAUGUUUGAUUUUGACCUGAAAGCAUGUAUUACCAACUACACUCAGAAGACAACACAAAUCUCCUACGAACACUCACAUUUGAAAGUCAGCCUAUGAGACACUUUCAAUUCACACAUCUCACAUAAGCCACAGAGACUGACAGACAAUAUUCCCCACCGAACGUACCCCAUUUCACUUUAAGCAGUGCAAUAAGUGCUACCUGUAUACUCUGAAUAUCUCCAUGACAAACACCAGCAUACACUAUUCGACCCGGUUCCUACAUCAAAACUACAACACUCAAGACCUAAGAACCGCAACACUGUAUAUAGUUGUAAUAUUGUUGAUAAGACAUCUCUAUUGUCACUUUAUGUUUAUGUUUUCAUUUUGAUUGCAUUGUAAAUUUUAUAGUACUGUUUUUGCAUAGACAUUUUACCACCUGCAGCACUGGAACACAGUAAAGAGACACAAGUAAACUUCCACCCUUAACCCUACAGGUACACAAGAUAGCCUCUCUGUCCCUGAUUACACACAAUGCGAGGGGAUUAAAUACCCCUGAAUAAAAUACAUAUGGCCCUAACCGACUACCACAAACUUAAGGCAGAGGUUGUCUUUAUACAAGAAACACACUUUCACAAAGACUUUGCACCCUCCCUCAGAAACAAAAACUUCCCCAAGGGGUACUUUAUCAACUACUCAAUGUCAAAAUCACGAGGCGUGGCGAUUUUGUUUAAAUCAAACCUCCCCUAUGUAUACCAGGACCACAGCGCUGAUGACAGCGGUAGAUUUCACACGCUCCGAAAAAUCUUAAAUAACCUGGAACAAUUCACUAAAGGACUCCAAAUCCUCGAAUGAGCUUUUAACAUUUCACUACUAGACACGACUUCCGAAGCACAAUCAUACCACUCCUCCAUAAGGAAUCAUAUACAAAAGCUUCUAGACACAGACCAACUGUACGAUUGUUGGUGGACUUGCCAACCAAUGAGGAGAGACUACUCCUUUUAUUCCCACCCAUCAGGCUCUUACUCGAGGAUUGACAUGUUCUUCCUCCCCUACAAAUUCCCAAAUUUAAUCACAUCAUGCACAUACGAGCCAAUCACAUGGUCUGUCCAUGACCAUCACAAUUCCAUCCAUACACCCCUCCACCCCAGUGGAAAUUGAACAAUACUCUACUGAACUACACAGAGGUACAGGCCCAAAUUAGAUCAGAACUAGACCAAUAUUUCUCCCUUAACACAUACCCAGACUCAUCAAACCCGAUCAUAUGGGAAGCCCACAAGAGUACAAUAAGAAGCAUAAUUAUUAGAAUAGCAUCAACACAUAAGAGACAGAGGGACGGGGGGUGGAGCCUGGACUGCAAGCAGCUCCUGCUGUAAACGCUGCUUACCCCGGGCUGACAACUCAGAAUCUUCUGCUUUAGGUGAAAUCCAUGCUGGGGGCACCCUACCCUACUCGUGAGCACCUUUAUCGACGCUCGGAAGCAUUGAGAACCGCACCAAGUUAAGGCCUACUGGAGGCAGAACGGGGAAGAGACGGCCGCUCUCCUCUCGCUGCUUACCCCGGGCUGACAACUCAGAAUCUUCUGCUUUAGGUGAAAUCCAUGCUAGGGGCACCCUACCCUACUCGUGAGCACCUUUAUCGACGCUCGGAAGCAUUGAGAACCGCACCAAGUUGAGGCCUACUGGAGGCAGAACGGGGAAGAGACGGCCGCUCUCCUCUCGCUGUACCAAGCCACUACACAAGCGACUUUCCUACCCCCCUCUAGACCGGCGGGGGAUAUCCCGGUCCCCCCCUGGAGAGCAGACAGCUAUACUAGAGUUGCUUCAUUAGCUCACAGAACAAACCACACAGUGCGGCUCAAAAUCCCAAGAUGGCGGACGCAGCCUACACAAACGCACGAGGCAAGACGGUAACUACUGGGGCACCGUUAUUAUGCUUUUCUUAUGUUUUGCUUUCCUUUCAGCCACCUCUCCAUACACUACCUAAUAUCACAGCAGUACACACUUCUGCCGACACUGCACCCAGGUGCGCACUAACAACAAUCUUACAAGCAUGUUUACCUAACGUACAUUUUGUUCCCUCUCCAUGUCUGCAUGGUUACAUAGGUUGUCAAAAUAUGAGGCACAUACCUGGCUCCUUUCACUGUAAUAGCCAACAUUGUGACUCUCCUCAGUGUAUCCUCAAUGUCAGACAUGAUUGAUUAGCUUGAGGUUUAUCUUGUUCUUAAUAUUUAAAAAAAAGUGCAAGUCUUUGCUAAUUACCCCAAAUGUCACAUGUGAUGCUCUACUAUGCCGUUGGGGUACCUCUAGCCUGUUUGUACUCAAUCUAUGCACUGCAAAAAAAAAAGAGAGACAGAGACAGAGGGACAAAAAGGCUACCCAACUCAUACACGAUAUUAGGACCCUGGAAACAGCCCACAAAUUGGACUUGAACUUAGCAACCUACAAAACAUUGGUAGAAAAGAGGACCGAACUAAACAUACUCCUGAAUAUGCAAACCAAACGCAAACUUGCUCUCACCAAAAGCCUAUACUACACCCAAGGGGGGAAAAGCGGCCACUUACUAGCACAUGCCCUCAGAAAACAAAGGGAAAACACCUUUAUUUCCUCCAUUAAAAUAAGGAAGGCACCAAAUCCCAAUUAAUGACAGUUAUCAGAUAUCAGACUUUCACGACUUCUACUCAGCACUUUACAAUUUAAGAACUAUCCCCUGACCCCCCUCACACAGAGGAACAAGACUUCCUCACGCACAGAAUUAAGUCCACAAUACCAAGAAACAUACAACACUCACUAGAACAUCCCAUAACAAGCAAGGAAUUCCACGUAGUAACAAAAAAGCCUAGGCCCAGAUGACCUCACAGCCAAAUACUAUAAAUUAUUCACUUCUUCGCUGUCCACACACUUUCUUAACUCCUUCAAUUCCCUCCUCAAAAUACCGGCCCUCCCGCCACAAGCACUAAACGCCACAAUAACUCUACUACCCAAACCUGAAAAAGACCCAACCCUCCGUGGAAGCUACAGGCCCAUUUCUCUUAUCAACGUAGACCUCAAACUAUUAAACAAAAAUAUUAAACUUGAUCCACUUCUCAAAACUCACCGGGGGUUCACGUCUACUCCUGUCAAUAUACGCUGAAAAGGCGUUUGACAGGGUAAACUGGACCCUCAUGAUGGCAACUCUGCAACACAUGGGCUUUGGCCUAAAUUGGCUACAGUGACUAAGGGCAUUAUACUCUACACCUACAGCGAGAAUACGAAUUAAUGGCCAACUGUCAAAUCCAGUGGCUAUCUGAAAUGGUACAAGGCAGGGAUGCCCUCUUUCCCCCCUCCUAUUUGUCCUGGUCCUGGAACCCUUCCUCCAGGGCAUUAGAGACAACCCCCAAGGAAGUCAAGGAGUCCGAGCAGGAGGCACAGAACACAAAAUCUCUACCUUUGCGGACGAUAUGUUGUUCACAGUCUCAGAUUCCAUCCACACACUACCCCAUCUCAUACAAGAAAUUACACUAUACAGUAGAAUCUCAAACUUCCAGGCAAAUCUUAGCAAGUGUGAAAUUCUCCCACUCACCAUACCUCGAGAAACAGAAUUAUUACUUCAAAGAACCUAUACCUUUACAUGGGUAGAUGCAUCUAUAAAGUACCUGGGGGUCCAAAUCCACAAAGUACUGACACAAGUGUAUGACAGUAAUUUUCCCUAAUUAAUCUAAUCCAUUUUCGAAAGAUUUACCUUCAUGGAAUAUGCCACACUUUGGAUGGUUCUGCCGAUUGAACACCCUGAAUAUGAAUGUCUUACCUCGACUCCUUUACAUGUUACAAGUGUUGCCCAUUUCACUACCCAAACUCCUAUUCACUACCAUACGCAAAACAUUCACAACCUUCAUAUGGGCCCAUAAACACCCCAGACUAUCCAAUUCUUUACUCACAAGACCGAAAGAGGAAGGCGGACUGGGCCUCCUCGACUUAGAAACCUACCACAAAACCACUCUACUGACCAGAGUAUAUGACUUGUCGGAGCACAGCUCAACCAAACAGUGGGUACACCUGGAAGGCUCAUUCUUCAGGGUCCCAAUAUACACAAUUCCAUGGCAUGAAUCUGGGCAAGCUCUCCUGAACCAUCAGGCACACCCAACCAUAACCCUGAGAAUGUGGGCCCAUGUGAGAAACCACCAACAGAUAUUACCAUACCCGUCACCUCUCUACCCAAUUACACACAACCCUUUAUUCAAACCAGGGGAAGACGGAAAGACGUACAGAGAUUACCACACAACCCCCUACCUGACUUUAGGAACUCUGAUAGAUGACUCUCGGGUAAAACCAUUGCACUCCCUCCGCCCCUACUGCACUUCAUAAGGACAGGACCCUUGGCAAAUUAAUUUCCCUAAUGUACACCCUGCUCUUAUCCACCCAACCCAAACACCUCCUGGUCUAUACUCCAAGCUGGGAAAAAGAACUGAACAUUUCCCUAACACCAGAACAAUGGCCUAAAAUAUUCAAGCUCAUUCACAACACUCAAAACAUAGUGGCCCAAAAGAGUAACUGAAAAAGAAUUAUUAGGUGGCACUACACCCCGCAAAACUCCUCUCCUUGUCCCCACACUCACCCAACAAAUGCUGGAGAUGCCAACAACCGAACGGCAACUCAGCACACAUCUGGUGGACUCCUACAUCUAAUAACAGCAGAAAACCAACUAAUCCCAAUGUUCUGGAAAAAGCCAAACCCCCCAUCAAUAAGAGACUGGAUCCAGAAAGUAGAAACCACUAGAAACUUAGAGGAAACAUGUUACUCCAUGUCUAAAUAAUACCACCAAUACACCUCCACGUGGGGCCCUUGGUGCAGGUACCUUAAAAAUAACACAAUGUAACUCUCCCUCAACCAUCCAAAAUUACCCCUAACAACACAAAGUUCCACUAGAAGAAACUUAGUAUAGAGGAAAAGUUGACUCAGACAAAGUCAAAGUGCCCCAACUAGCCUACAAGGGUGGGGAACACAUUUUCUUAGGCCAGGAUAUCAUUGUAAACGGUAAUGGUUACUUAGACGCCUAACACCACAGAAUCAACCGAAAAUUCAGGAUGCCCUUGGCCAAAAACCUAAACCGAAAAUUACUUAUUUUAUCCAAUUGAUUUUAAAAUGCUAAGUAUUCUAACAAGAUUGAUUUACAGUGAGUCCUGCUUGGGCUGAUGUUAGCCAAUCCAUCCACCCAGCCAGAGAGCUGUGCCCCACAUAGGACUGUUCCCGCAAUCCACCCAUAGGACUGUGCUCCCCAUCCAGCCAGAGAGCUGUGUCCGCCAUCGGACUGUGCCCCCCAUCCACAUGUGCCCCCCAUCCAGCCAGAGAGCUGUUCCCCCCAUCCACAUGUGCCCUCAUAGGAUUGAGCUCCCCAUCCAGCCAGAGAGCUGUGCCCCCCAUAGACAUGUGCCCACCAUCCACCUACAGACAUGGGCCCCCCCACAGGACUGUGCUCCCCAUCCAGUUGUGCCUGGGGCUGUCAGUGGCUCUCAGUCAAUGCAUGCUAGGUUAACCCUGUCUAGCCCAGAGGCAGAUCUUACCGUUCUUGGUGUCUGCACACCGUCCGUUUACAGAACUUGCUCACGGCCCCGUUCUCCUGCUCGUCCCCGUUUCGGUUAUUCUACCCUUGCUGUUCUUCACGUUUGGAAUGGCGGGCGGGAUCCUCGCUGCGGACGGGAACCUCACUUGGUGCAAUCAGGUGCUCAGUCCGGUGGCCUCACACACAAGCUCAGCACACACAGGGCGGCCCGCGGGUCCUUGCCAGGGUAGAAGGCGUGUCUCGUUGUUUUGAUUCCGAUGAAAGCAGCCGCGGACUAGAUCACUCAUUACACCAAUCUCCACGUGCACCAAGAAAGACUGCAGGACAGCACGUGUAAUUUUCUGCAGAUCUGACCAAUUUUCAGCCAAAAUAAGACAGGGCCAUUUUCCAUAAGAUAGGCCCAUUUGCAUCCCUAACUUACAGUGCUGUAUUAUGUCAAAUGUACUAUCUUCAAAGCAUGUAAUACCUUCUUUUGAUAACGAAUAAAACAAACAUAAAUAAAAAUAAAGAGUACGUAUUACCAAACCAUAGAAUGGUCAGGCUUAACAUGGUAGAGAAAUAGAGUAGUCAGAUGAUGGCCAAAAAUCUAAGUACGCCAGAAAUUGGGAGAGUGAUUAAGGAAUAGCCGAGUCAGAAUACCAGAGAGCAGGAAAGUUAAAGUACAAGCAGAGUCAAAAAACAGAUAAGCGAUACAGACAAAGGAAGCACUAUAGGGAACAAGCCUUGAACCACAAAAGGGUACUGUACAAGGCAAAAGAUGUAUAUUUAUAUGGGAGUGUCUUUUGCUUUAAGGCCACACCCCAAAACGGUCUGAAGUGUUGAAAAUAGCGCAAAAUCGCAUCAUCUGCAUUAUGCCAUUGAUGUGCAUGCGUCACGUCAUAAAAAGGGUGUGUGAUCGUAGUGUCAAACAUCACCACGUGGUUGCCCGGGAGUGAGGUAAGAUAUUGUGGCACUGAGACAGUUGCACAUGGCUGGAGCUAAGCAAACUACAAAAUAAGUCUAUUACGCAACAACAAAAAAUGCUCUCUUAUCUUCAAUAAACGAGUUCUAUCUCCUGUGGCACACUCCACAGAGGAUUUGACCUCCAUUGACCAUUCCAGAUGGGCACUGCCUGCGCUAGACUGUUGACAUAUCCCUUGCAGGCUGAGUAGGUUGCAGUCCACUUAUACAGCAAUAUUCCCUAUAUCUGCUCUAAUUGCUUUAUAUGAUUUCUUACUCUGUGGUGCAUGUGUACUGCACAGCGUCUACUUUACUGCUUGGCACUAGACUCUCACUAUACCAUCACAGCAAAUUAUGCUUAUAUCAUUCAUGUUUGGUCUAGAGUUAGCCUUUUAGACCAUUCAACUAACCCAUGCAAAAUCCCUCACUGCUAUAUUGGCAUACAUGGUUCAAGAGUCUAAUCUAUCUCAGCAUUAUCUACUCGGCACACUCUAAGUUAAGUCACUCAUGUGAUUACAUGCUGGUACUUUCUAAACUGUCAAGCUAUUGAACCAAGUAAUUUGUUUUUUAAACUUGUGUUAUACUGCUAUUUUCUUCUUUCUCCUUAUACUAUUCUUGUAAGCACCAAUAUAAAUGUGUUGCACUGCUGAUAACACUUGACUAUUUUGCUUAAUAUAUGGUGAUGUAUACUCUGUCAGUGAACAAUGC